AUCGCUUCUCGGCCUUUUGGCUAAGAUCAAGUGUAGUAUGUAGUUCAGUAAAGCUUUUGUGAAUAGAAUCUUUUGUCCAACACAUCUU
ensembl:snRNA U2 U2 spliceosomal RNA